AGUGAACGCUGGCGGUAGACCUAACACAUGCAAGUCGAACGGCAGCACAGUAAGAGCUUGCUCUUACGGGUGGCGAGUGGCGGACGGGUGAGGAAUACGUCGGACUCUACUUUUUCGUGGGGGAUAACGUAGGGAAACUUACGCUAAUACCGCAUACGACCUACGGGUGAAAGCAGGGGAUCUUCGGACCUUGCGCGAUUGAAUGAGCCGAUGUCGGAUUAGCUAGUUGGCGGGGUAAAGGCCCACCAAGGCGACGAUCCGUAGCUGGUCUGAGAGGAUGAUCAGCCACACUGGAACUGAGACACGGUCCAGACUCCUACGGGAGGCAGCAGUGGGGAAUAUUGGACAAUGGGCGCAAGCCUGAUCCAGCCAUACCGCGUGGGUGAAGAAGGCCUUCGGGUUGUAAAGCCCUUUUGUUGGGAAAGAAAAGCAGCAGGUUAAUACCCCGCUGUUCUGACGGUACCCAAAGAAUAAGCACCGGCUAACUUCGUG
rnacentral:rRNA from 1 species